GUAAGACUUUGGCUUCCAAAACCAAAAAUUAGAGGUUCAAAUCCCCUUUCCC
rnacentral:tRNA from 1 species